CAGUAGCCGCGGUAAUACGAAGGGUGCAAGCGUUAAUCGGAUUUACUGGGCGUAAAGCGUGCGUAGGCGGCUUUUUAAGUCGGAUGUGAAAUCCCUGAGCUUAACUUAGGAAUUGCAUUCGAUACUGGGAAGCUAGAGUAUGGGAGAGGAUGGUAGAAUUCCAGGUGUAGCGGUGAAAUGCGUAGAGAUCUGGAGGAAUACCGAUGGCGAAGGCAGCCAUCUGGCCUAAUACUGACGCUGAGGUACGAAAGCAUGGGGAGCAAACAGGAUUAGAUACCCCCGUAGUCCCUGUCUCUUAUAC
rnacentral:rRNA from 1 species